CCAGGGUCAUGUUUGCAAAUGCAGUGACAAAUAGGGACAUCUGUGGAGGGGGGACAAUCACAACCAUUUUCAUAGCAGAGCCAGGAGCAUGCUCAUCUCACCCAGAAGUUAAUGAGAACUCGGUGCAGCAUUGAUUCUGCCUCAGCAGCUGUAUGGGUGGUGAAUGAAUAUUGCAAUAAACGGCUGCACACAUUUCCAAGCAGUGACAGACAGGUAAGGUGAAAAUGCAGACCCUGGAGCAUCUUAGAGUCUGGGUAAACCAUUUCUUGUGGCCUCUUUGUUCUGAAAAAUCCCCUGACAGACACACUGCUGCCUUGUACUUCAGGAUUUCACUGGACUUAGGAAAUUCAAUAGUUCUCAAACUGUGCCUUCUCUGGGGGCAAGAGCUAGGAUUGAGUGGCAAUCACCUCCUCUGCUGUGGCUCAUCCUUUCUCAGCAGACUCUCAGGCCGCCUUUGAGCGAAUCUUCCAUUCUUCCUUGUCUAAAUCUCGGGUCUGAGCAGGACGACAGAGAGAUGGAGAGACUUUCUCUUCUCUUAACUCCGCAAUACUUCUCACCCUUGCAUCUUCAUGGAAGCUGCAGAAAUGAGCCGCACCAAACCACAGUAGGGGAGAGAAGAGCAUUAAAUAAAAAUGAGACCGAACCGAGCAGAGCUACGAGGAACUUGGCAGAACAGAUUCCCAUGGGUUCACAUGAGCAUCUUCAGCUGCGAUGCACUGAACACCCGCCAACAGCACAGCAGCCACAGGGGUUGCUUCAGCCUGGGCUGCAGGAGGACACGCCAACUGCAGUGCGAAUUUUCCCUGCAUUUGCUCCCUGUCACAGCUGUAUGCACAUUAAGGUUUACAGUCCUCUCUCCUUUCUUUCCCCUUUCGAUCUCUUUCUUGAAAGAGUUGGAAAGCUGACGAAACUUGAAAAGAAAAUCCCCUGAUUUCAGAUGCAGGCAUAGCUAGGGGGGAACGUAAGUGUCUGUUUUCAGCUGGGCUGCUUUUGACCUAGCAAACUAACCACAGCUAUUUCUUUAUUCUUUAGAAGUCUGAGGCAGGGGACAUUUGAAAGCACGAGGGUCACAGAGGAGAGUCACAGCAUAGUGUCAGCGCUGUGAUAUCAGCAGUUGGAAAAAGCUUCAGACGCACCUUUAAGCAUAGGCUUAGAGCUAAAUAAAUCAUGGCCUAGUAAUGGACAGACCAGAGGUAGGGGAAAGAUUUUGUUAGAGUUGACCUGGAAGAAUCUGGAGAAAUGGAGCAAAGAAAAAAAAAAAAAAAAAGGAUACAUAUAUACAUUUUUAAUCUGGGUGAACUUAUUCUGUUUUCACAUUAUUUAACAGCUGUUUUAAUAUUAAAAUCUACUUUAAUUUUAAUGAGGUAAAAAUGCCAUUUAGGAGGCAAAGAAACAAAACAGAAAGGUUGCAGUUUGAGAACACUGACAUAAGAAUUGGCCGUGUCCUUUCUCGUUGUCCUUUCUUGCCCCUUACCCACCUGCAAAAAGUCCAUGUGUCACACCAACCAACUUGUCAGUUCUUCUGGAAAUCCAUUUUUAGGUGAAUUUUGUAUUCAUCUGAGAGGACUCGUUGAGCUCCCCUGAACCAGUAUUUGAUGCAUGGCUUAUGAUUUGUCUGUCUUACGUAGGAAGAACUCUAUGUUGUAGAUAAGUUCUCCAGUGCAAAACCUGCCCCUGAGCCUUCCUUCAGAGGCACAAAGCAGUCUCCUUUGCUUGGCAAGACAUGCUCUGGCUGGCACCUGCAGACUGCUGAGCUGUCUAGCACAGUUCUUCCAAGAGAAACAGAACAGACUUGGAGCAUCCAUCCAUUUCUGCAGGUGCAGAGGAGCAGAGAGAGUACCAGUGUGUAUCAGGAGAAAAGAUGAGGCAGUGUUUUUCUCUUAAAAAGUCAGAAAGCCUCUGCAGCUUUCACUUUUCAGCCUCAGCCUUCUGCUUGCAAGAAUCCUCACUUGCAAAUCCUAUUCAAUAGCAACUUGUUUUGAUUAUUUUUGUACCUUGGUCCGUGCUUACUUUGAGUCCAAUCCAGAAGAAGGCACCCAUUUAGCAGUCCGGGUCUGCACACUUACCGAACCAGAAAUGAAGACUGUCACUCAAACCAUCCCAGGUAUAUUCCAGCAAUAAGUACACAGCAGCUAAAUGAAAUGGCUGAUCCUUCAGAGGGAGCUCAAACCUGCAAGAGGACUUUUGUAUUGAUUUGAAUUCUAUGCAGCUGAUGUCAUGCAGCAGGAAUCUGAUUAGAGAUGAAAUUCACCUGCAGAAUUUGGAAGGCAAUUUACCCAGGGUAGUAACACGUAACGAUUUCUCAGCAUGCUUUUGACCAGAUCA
ensembl:lncRNA